AUUCUUUCAACGACUUUCAAUUUCUUUUUCCCAUGGAAACUUUCACCCAUCUCUCCCUAUAAAUUCCUCCCCUUCCCUCUCUUACCUUCACUCGCACCCAAUUCCGCUCAUAUCUCUCUAUUCUCUCGUCAACUCGAUAAAGCUGCUUCCCUCCUCUCCUUCCUGUAUGGCAACGCCCGCUCUUUCAUUCCAAGUACGGAGGUGCCAACCAGAAUUGGUAGCUCCGGCUAAGCCUACCCCUCAUGAGUUUAAGCAACUUUCUGAUAUCGAUGACCAGGAGGGUCUUCGGUUUCAGAUUCCAGUGAUACAGUUCUAUCGCCGUGAUCCGCGCAUGGAGGGGCUGGACCCGGCGAACGUGAUAAGGGAGGCAAUUGCGAAGACGUUGGUCUUUUACUACCCUUUUGCGGGUAGGUUGAGAGAAGGGCCUGGGCGGAAGUUGUUUGUGGAAUGUACUGGAGAAGGUGUUUUGUUUAUUGAAGCAGAUGCUGAUGUUACUUUAGAACAAUUUGGUGAUGCACUUCAACCACCGUUCCCAUGUUUGGAGGAGCUUCUUUACGAUGUUCCAAAUUCUAAUGGAGUUCUCAAUUCUCCAUUAUUGCUCAUCCAGGUGACCCGACUUAAGUGUGGCGGUUUUAUCUUUGCUCUUCGUUUGAAUCAUACUAUGAGCGAUGCGUCUGGUCUCGUCCAAUUCAUGAUGGCGGUUGGCGAGAUGGCGCGCGGUGCGAGUAGUCCUUCGAUUCGUCCAGUGUGGAAAAGAGCUCUUUUAAAUGCACGAGACCCACCAGAAGUGACAUGUUGUCAUCGUGAGUACGAUGAAGUGGCCGACACGAAAGGCACCAUCAUACCACUCGACGACAUGGCUCAUCGCUCGUUUUUCUUUGGCCCAUCGGAGAUCGCUGCCAUUCGUAAGACGUUACCGAGUCACCUCCAGCAGUGCUCCUCAUUUGAGAUCCUCACAGCUUGUCUCUGGCGCUUCCGCACCAUAUCCCUUCAGCCAGAGCCACAAGAGGAAGUGCGAGUACUAUGCAUAGUCAACUCCCGCUCCAAGUUCAACCCUCCAUUACCAUUAGGGUAUUACGGCAAUGCAUUUGCUUUCCCAGUGGCACUCACCACGGCGGGUAAGCUUUGCCAAAACCCGGUUGGAUAUGCCUUGGAAUUGGUUCGAAAGGCGAAAGCCGACGUGACGGAGGAGUACAUGAAGUCGGUGGCGGAUCUUAUGGUGACCAAAGGGCGGCCUCAUUUCACCGUCGUGAGAUCAUACCUUGUGUCGGAUGUGACGAGGGCUGGGUUCGGAGAUGUGGACUUUGGGUGGGGGAAGGCUGCGUACGGUGGACCGGCGAAGGGCGGUGUCGGAGCGAUCCCGGGCGUGGCUAGCUUUUAUAUACCGUUCGAGAACAAAAUGGGGGAGAAGGGGGUUUUGGUGCCUUUGUGCUUGCCUGCUCCGGCCAUGGAAAGAUUCGUGGAAGAACUUGAUGGCUUGUUGAAGGGGAAACAGUCCAUUGAUGGCUUCUUCAUUCCAUCGGCUCUGUGAUUUGGUAAACUUGUGAGAGCAAGAAACCAGAAAAAAUCAAAUGUUAGCUAAAUAAAAAUAACAACAAAAUAAGGUUUGUAAUUUAUGAAUUUUUGGGUUAAUUUUGAUCUUAGUGGACAAUUCCUCAUUUGGUACCUACUUUCUUUUAAAGGUAAAUAUAUUCGAGAAGAACGAGUAUAUCGAGGUAGACUUUAGCUACUUAGCUUUGUUAUCUAAUUCGGGCUGUUCAAAACGAAAUAG